UACAGAGGUCUCAAGCGUUGUUCGGAUUCAUUGGGCGUAAAGGGUGCGUAGGUGGCGAUGUAAGUCUGGUGUGAAAUCUCGGGGCUCAACCUCGAAAUUGCAUUGGAUACUGCGUUGCUUGAGGAUUGUAGAGGAGAGUGGAAUUCCCGGUGUAGCGGUGAAAUGCGCAGAUAUCGGGAGGAACACCUAUUGCGAAGGCAGCUCGCUGGGACGUCACUGACGCUGAGACGCGAAGGCCAGGGGAGCAAACGGG
rnacentral:rRNA from 1 species